AAUGACGGGGGCCCGCACAAGCGGAGAGCAUGUGGUUUAAUUCGAUGAUACGCGAGGAACCUUACCUGGGCUCGAACGUAAGAUGACUGUAGGUGAAAGCUUACAUCUCUUCGGAGCAUUUUACGAGGUGCUGCAUGGUUGUCGUCAGCUCGUGCCGUGAGGUGUCGGGUUAAGUCCCAUAACGAGCGCAACCCCUACCUUUUAGUUGCCAUCAGGUAAUGCUGGGGACUCUAAAGGAACUGCCUACGCAAGUAGUGAGGAAGGCGGGGAUGACGUCAAAUCAGCACGGCCCUUACGUCCAGGGCUACACACGUGCUACAAUGGCCGAUACAGAGGGCAGCUACCUGGUGACAGGAUGCAAAUCUCCAAAGUCGGUCUCAGUUCGGAUCGGAGUCUGCAACCCGACUCCGUGAAGCUGGAUUCGCUAGUAAUCGCGCAUCAGCCAUGGCGCGGUGAAUACGUUCCCGGGCCUU
rnacentral:rRNA from 1 species